AUGGAGGAGGGUGGGUUGUGCAGGCUAAAGGCACUUGAGGGAUAGCCAGAGUUUGGUUCUGGCUGAAUUUGCUUAAGCUGGGAGAGAGAACCUGAGAACUUUAGCCCUAAGGUAAGAGAUAAAGGGGUGAUGUGGGAAGAGGCCCAGGGAAACUGUAACAACAAAUUGAAGGCAGCAGUACAUAUCUGGUCCCUGGAUUGGAUCUGGAAGUAGUGGGUGGGCCCAGGUUCCACCACUGGCAAAAUGAUAUAAACCCCAAGAGGGGGACAAGGCUUGUUUGGGAGCCCCAACAAAGGGCUGAAUUCAAGGGGCCCAGAGCUGGGGCUGAAAGACAGUUGUUGCUGGACUCUGCUACCCUGGAAAGGGUUCAUUUGGACUUUGUGACUUGGCCAGAGGGCCCAACCACUGCUAAGGUUGGCUGACAAUCUACCAGGGAACUAGGAGUGAAAGAAGGACUGCAGUAUUGCACCCAGUUGCCAGGAGAUGCCCUAAAGGGCGCUCAGUUUGGCCCCAGGAGGAAGCCACAAGUGCAGAGUGGAAGCUGCUAUUGCCCAUAUCCCAGCAGGUGUGAAAGACAGUGCUGUAGAGUAGCACUCAAGGGAAGCAGCUCCUCUUUGAACACACAAGAGAGUAAGGACUUUCCAAACUGGCCAAGGACUAGAAAGACAAGGGGUCAAAAGGCUGUCUCCUAUUCUUUGAUGUGGAGCCAGCAAAGGCAAUCAAGGGUGACAUCUGGCAGCCAGCUCUCCUCUUAUGAUGAUUUUGGACAUCUGAGGCACACAUUGCCAACAUGAAUUCAGCAGCUCACCAGUUAGUUACUAAUUUGUAACCCUUUAAAACAUGGCUGCUUGAUUUUGCAGCAAAUACUCACCACAGUGUUUAUAUGACUUUAAUAUCUAGUUAAAAGGCCGACAAUCUACAGCAGGGGUCUCCAAACUAUGGCCUGUGGGCCGGAGCUGGCCCGGGGCUUCCAUUUGUCCAGCCCUCCAACCAACAGGGGAGAAGCGAACAGCUGAGUAGGCAU